rnacentral:rRNA from 1 species
UACGAAGGGUGCAAGCGUUGCUCGGAAUUAUUGGACGUAAAGGGUAGGUAGGUGGUAAUAAAAGUCUGGGGUGAAAUCCCUGAGCUCAACUCAGGACGUGCCUUGGAAACUUUAUUACUAGAGUGCUGGAGAGGUCCGCAGAAUUCCCGGUGUAGCGGUGAAAUGCGUAGAGAUCGGGAGGAAUACCAGAGGCGAAGGCGGCGGACUGGACAGUCACUGACACUCAACUACGAAAGCGUGGGUAGCAAACAGG